ensembl:lncRNA
ACGUACCGCUCACUCCAUCUUUUUCUUUUAUCGAAAAGGAUCGUGAGGUGAGUCCUGCCAAGUAAAAUAAAUACCUUUUUGUCUUAAAGAAGGUAACGUAUGAUCAAAAAUUACACUGACGAACAAGUCACCAAAACAAAAUGUAGACUUUGGCUCAUUUGGGCUUGGACAACAAAAUGUAUACGGUGUUAUUUAAGGAAGAGAGAGGAAAAAAAAAAAAAGUCCCCCCCCUCCCCAUCAUCUUGUGGCCAACGUGAUACUCGGAUAAAUGUUGUGUAGUGUGAAGAAGAUUGCAAACUUGCAGGCUUACUCGACUUUCGUUGGGCUGAAAAAAUAAAGAACAAAAAUCGGGAAGGAGGCGCUACAAAAAAGGUGGCUUAGGAAGCGCUACAAAAAAAGAUGCUGGUCUUGGAUCUGCUGACUGGAUGAAAGUGAAACCACUUAAAAGACCCUAAUUUAUGCUCCAGGAACCCACAAACCACACCUUCAACAAAAAGCCUUUUGUUUGGCUUAGGAGACUAGACCGGCGUACCCGCUGAACUGUUCACUUUAACACCCAGCACACGUGCUAUCCAGACCACCUGGAAAUUAUGGACCAAAUAUGUUUAUUCUGACAGAUUUUCUGUAAGAAUGAAAGUUAUUGAAAGCUUUUUUUUUUUUAAUUAUUUUUUUAAAAGGUGGAACGUUACAGUUUCUUUUAAACAGGUGUGCAGUUUUAUAUGCUUCAUUUUUAGUGUAGCCUUCUGGCUUCUUUUGUAUGCAGCUGUAUUUUAUAAAUACGUGAGUUGUGUUCUUUUUUAUAAAGGUGUUUUGUACUGUUGGCAAAUUAAAUAUAUUUUCUAUAGUGGAAAAUGUUGUCAUGUCUGGUUUGUAUGUCAGGCAAUCAACAAAUGUUUCUUACAGACGGCGAUGCAGUUUUCUAUCGUAUCGCGAGUCAUCUUCAUGCUUGUAAUCUGCUGAAUUCCCAACAUCCUCCUCCUCUUUGCAAAUAGCGUUGGGACAC